GGCCUUUAGCAUAACAAGUAUUAAAGGUCCCGCCUGCCCAGUGAACCACUUUUAACGGCCGCGGUACUCUAACCGUGCAAAGGUAGCGUAAUCACUUGCCCCCUAAAUAGGGGCUCGUAUGAACGGCUAGAUGAGGGCUUAACUGUCUCCUAGGACACCCCAAUGAACCUGCUCCCCCAGUACAAAAGCUGGGAUAAUUCCAUAAGACGAGAAGACCCUGUGGAGCUUUUAAAUACACUACCAGGCAGCCCAGCCCAUGGUAACAACUUUAAGUUGGGGCGACUACGGAGAACUACAAAACCUCCAUGAAACAAACUAAAACCAGCCCCAGGCCAACACGCCAAAGGCACCCAACCCUUUGACCCAGUACACCUGACCACCGGACCAAGUUACCCCAGGGAUAACAGCGCCAUCCCCCUCAAGAGUCCUUAUCGCCAGGGGGGUUUACGACCUCGAUGUUGGAUCAGGACACCCCGGUGGUGUAGCCGCUACCAAAGGUUCGUUUGUUCAACGACUAAUGUCCUACGUG
rnacentral:rRNA from 1 species